rnacentral:lncRNA from 1 species
AUGUGUGUCAUCCUCGUGUGUGUGUCCGGCUCCCUCCUCUCUCUGGCCCUUCUCUGUGUGUGUGUGUGUGUGUGUGUGUCCCCCACACACACGGACUCCCAUCCCUUUGAUUCUCUGGACUCUCAGGCUCUGUCACCUCCAAGUGACUUUCCACCUCUGUCUUGUUUGUGUUUACUUCUCUCUUUCCAGCCUCUGACUCCAUGUGUGUCAUCCUCGUGUGUGUGUCCGGCUCCCUCCUCUCUCUGGCCCUUCUCUGUGUGUGUGUGUGUGUGUGUGUGUGUGUGUGUGUGUAUCUGUCUGUCUGGGAGAAGUGUCCCCACGUGGAUAUGGGCCAGCCUACACACGGUGUGCACCGCAGCUGCCCUGUCUCCCUGCACCCCCUGCCUGGGUGCCAAGCACCCAGGCCCGCUCGCCACGUGUGCCAGGAGCUGCAGGUGUGCCUGCCUGUCCAAACAUUUGUCAUGUUGUCAAGUGUGCUUUGCAUGUGGAUCUACUCAUUUGCUCCCUUCCCCCUCUGGUCCAGGGCCCCCUCUGCCUGCCUGGCCUGCCCUCGCCUGGCCUCUUUCCUUUCAGCCAACCUCUCCAUUUCCCCUUGUUGGGCCCUUGUUCCCGCCUGCCUCCCUACCUGCUUGCUCCUGUUAUGGUGUUUGCCUGCCUGCCUGUCUGCUCCUCCCUGACUGGCUGGCAGCCUCUUUCUCGGUUGUCUGUCUGCUUCUCUGGCUGUUUGCCCACCACUCUCUCUCCAGCCAUCUGUCUCCCCGCCUGCCUGUCUCUGUCACUUUUUUAGCCCCCAUCUCUUGGUUUUUCUACCUUCCAGGGUCUGCCAUGCUUCCCCAUCUUGGUGGGCCUCCUCUCUUGCCCUUCUGCAUGGCCCGCCACUCACGUGUGUGCCCGUGGGGUGGGUGGGUUACACUCACCUCCCUGGACGUCCAGCCUCCCAGCCACCUGCCCCACCGUCCAGUCCUUGCAUCCUUCCAGUCUGACUUCCUGGCAGCUUUUGGUUCCUUGGCUUCCUCAAAGCUGCACCCCCAUCCAUAUGGGUGGCCUCUCUGCCCCAAGGCUGGCUGCCCCCGUGCCCCUGAGUCUCUGGGCCUUCUGGCUGCACCGUCGUCGUGUCUUUUCCCUUUUCCCUUAGACGAGCAGCCCACCCCAGCCUCCCUACUACCUUCUUUGCAGCGCCUGCUCUUUCCCGCCUUUUUGCCGCUGUCUGCCUGGCUGGCUCUGGCUGGUCACGUCUCCACUUGCUCUCUCAUCUUUGUCUUCUUCUUUCCUUGUCCCUCGGGGUUCAGAUAG